rnacentral:rRNA from 1 species
UACGUAGGUGGCAAGCGUUGUCCGGAAUCACUGGGCGUAAAGGGCGCGUAGGUGGUCUGAUAAGGGUGUGGUGAAAGCCCGGGGCUCAACCCCGGGUCGGCCGUGCCGACUGUUGGACUAGAGUGCUGUAGGGGCAGGCGGAAUUCCGGGUGUAGCGGUGGAAUGCGUAGAUAUCUGGAGGAACACCGGUGGCGAAGGCGGCGUUCUGGACUGCUACUGACACUGAGGAACGAAAGCCAGGGGAGCAAACGGG